UACGUAGGGGGCAAGCGUUGUCCGGAUUUAUUGGGCGUAAAGAGCGUGUAGGCGGUUAGGUAGGUCCGUUGUGAAAAACUCGAGGCUCAACCUCCGAGACGCCGAUGGAAACCAUCUGACUAGAGUCCGGAAGAGGAGAGUGGAAUUCCUGGUGUAGCGGUGAAAUGACGCAGAGUAUCAGGAAGAACACCCGUGGCUAAGGCGGCCUCUCUAGUAACGUGACUGACGCUGAGACGCGAAAGCGUGGGGAGCGAACAGG
rnacentral:rRNA from 1 species